rnacentral:rRNA from 1 species
CCUACGGGCGGCUGCAGUGAGGAAUAUUGCUCAAUGGGCGAAAGUCUGAACCAGCCAAGCAGCGUGAAGGAUGACUGCCCUCUGGGUUGUAAACUUCUUUUAUAAAGAAGUAAAACGAGGCACGUGUGCCUUUUUGCAUGUACUUUAUGAAUAAGGAUCGGCUAACUCCGUGCCAGCAGCCGCGGUAAUACGGAGGAUCCGAGCGUUAUCCGGAUUUAUUGGGUUUAAAGGGAGCGUAGAUGGGUUGUUAAGUCAGUUGUGAAAGUUUGCGGCUCAACCGUAAAAUUGCAAUUGAUACUGGCAGUCUUGAGUACAGUUGAGGUAGGCGGAAUUCGUGGUGUAGCGGUGAAAUGCUUAGAUAUUACGAAGAACCCCGAUUGCGAAGGCAGCUUACUAAACUGUGACUGACACUGAUGCUCGAAAGUGUGGGUAGCAAACAGGAUUAGAUACCCUAGUAGUC